rnacentral:rRNA from 1 species
UACGUAGGCAGCAAGCGUUGUUCGGAAUUACUGGGCGUAAAGAGUGUGUAGGCGGUGCUCUAAGUUCGUUGUGAAAUCUCCCGGCUUAACUGGGAGGUGCGGCGGAAACUGGAGUGCUUGAGCGCGGGAGAGGAAAGCGGAAGUUCCUGGUGUAGCGGUGAAAUGCGUAGAUAUGCGGAGGAACACCGAUGGCCGAAGGCAAUCCCCUGGACCUGGUACUGACGCUC